GUGGAUUAGAUACCCUGGUAGUCCACGCCGUACACGAUGGGUGCUAGGUGUCGCGGGCUUUGACCCCUGCGGUGCCGCAGCUAACGCAUUAAGCACCCCGCCUGGGAAGUACGGCCGCAAGGCUAAAACUCAAAGGAAUUGACGGGGGCCCGCACAAGCGGUGGAGCAUGUGGUUUAAUUCGACGCAACGCGAAGAACCUUACCUGGGCUAGAAAACAUGAGAGCCCGGUUGAAAAAUCGGGGUGCUCUUCGGAGAACUCAUGGUUAGGUGCUGCAUGGCCGUCGUCAACU
rnacentral:rRNA from 1 species